UAAAGUUGUUGCAGUUAAAAAGCUCGUAGUUGAAUUUCGGGAUUAGUAAGUUGGUCGUGCCUCUGGUAUGUACUGGCUUUACUGGUUCCUCCUUCUUGAAGAACUGUAAUGUCAUUAAUUUGGUGUUGCAGGGAAACAGGACUGUUACUUUGAAAAAAUUAGAGUGUUUAAAGCAGGCUAACGCUUGAAUACAUUAGCAUGGAAUAAUGAAAUAGGACGUUCGAUCCUACUUUGUUGGUUUCUAGGAUUGACGUAAUGAUUAAUAGGG
rnacentral:rRNA from 1 species